rnacentral:rRNA from 1 species
CAAGUCGAACGGCAGCACGGGGGCAACCCUGGUGGCGAGUGGCGAACGGGUGAGUAAUACAUCGGAACGUGUCCUGGAGUGGGGGAUAGCCCGGCGAAAGCCGGAUUAAUACCGCAUACGCUCUAUGGAGGAAAGCGGGGGAUCUUCGGACCUCGCGCUCAAGGGGCGGCCGAUGGCAGAUUAGCUAGUUGGUGGGGUAAAGGCCUACCAAGGCGACGAUCUGUAGCUGGUCUGAGAGGACGACCAGCCACACUGGGACUGAGACACGGCCCAGACUCCUACGGGAGGCAGCAGUGGGGAAUUUUGGACAAUGGGGGCAACCCUGAUCCAGCAAUGCCGCGUGUGUGAAGAAGGCCUUCGGGUUGUAAAGCACUUUUGUCCGGAAAGAAAACCUCUUGGUUAAUACCUGAGGGGGAUGACGGUACCGGAAGAAUAAGCACCGGCUAACUACGUGCCAGCAGCCGCGGU